GGGUGACGAGCGGCGGACGGGUGAGUAAUGUCUGGGAAACUGCCUGAUGGAGGGGGAUAACUACUGGAAACGGUAGCUAAUACCGCAUAACCUCGCAAGAGCAAAGAGGGGGACCUUCGGGCCUCUCGCCAUCAGAUGUGCCCAGAUGGGAUUAGCUAGUAGGUGAGGUAAUGGCUCACCUAGGCGACGAUCCCUAGCUGGUCUGAGAGGAUGACCAGCCACACUGGAACUGAGACACGGUCCAGACUCCUACGGGAGGCAGCAGUGGGGAAUAUUGCACAAUGGGCGCAAGCCUGAUGCAGCCAUGCCGCGUGUGUGAAGAAGGCCUUCGGGUUGUAAAGCACUUUCAGCGGGGAGGAAGGCGGUGAGGUUAAUAACCUCAUCGAUUGACGUUACCCGCAGAAUAAGCACCGGCUAACUCCGUGCCAGCAGCCGCGGUAAUACGGAGGGUGCAAGCGUUAAUCGGAAUGACUGGGCGUAAAGCGCACGCAGGCGGUCUGUUAAGUUGGAUGUGAAAUCCCCGGGCUUAACCUGGGAACUGCAUUCAAAACUGACAGGCUAGAGUCUUGUAGAGGGGGGUAGAAUUCCAGGUGUAGCGGUGAAAUGCGUAGAGAUCUGGAGGAAUACCGGUGGCGAAGGCGGCCCCCUGGACAAAGACUGACGCUCAGGUGCGAAAGCGUGGGGAGCAAACAGGAUUAGAUACCCUGGUAGUCCACGCUGUAAACGAUGUCGAUUUGGAGGUUGUGCCCUUGAGGCGUGGCUUCCGGAGCUAACGCGUUAAAUCGACCGCCUGGGGAGUACGGCCGCAAGGUUAAAACUCAAAUGAAUUGACGGGGGCCCGCACAAGCGGUGGAGCAUGUGGUUUAAUUCGAUGCAACGCGAAGAACCUUACCUACUCUUGACAUCCAGAGAACUUAGCAGAGAUGCUUUGGUGCCGUACGGGAACGUGCAGACAGGUGCUGCAUGGCUGUCGUCAGCUCGUGUUGUGAAAUGUUGGGUUAAGUCCCGCAACGAGCGCAACCCUUAUCCUUUGUUGCCAGCGAUUCGGUCGGGAACUCAAAGGAGACUGCCGGUGAUAAACCGGAGGAAGGUGGGGAUGACGUCAAGUCAUCAUGGCCCUUACGAGUAGGGCUACACACGUGCUACAAUGGCGUAUACAAAGAGAAGCGACCUCGCGAGAGCAAGCGGACCUCAUAAAGUACGUCGUAGUCCGGAUUGGAGUCUGCAACUCGACUCCAUGAAGUCGGAAUCGCUAGUAAUCGUAGAUCAGAAUGCUACGGUGAAUACGUUCCCGGGCCUUGUACACACCGCCCGUCACACCAUGGGAGUGGGUUGCAAAAGAAGUAGGUAGCUUAACCUUCGGGAGGGCGCUUACCACU
rnacentral:rRNA from 1 species